rnacentral:misc_RNA from 1 species
AACGGUCUAUACCUGCGGUACCUGCGGAAGGAUCAUUACAUGAUUUGAGGGGGCUCACGUCCCCUCAUCCAACCCACAAACCCCGAGGAACUUUUAUGUCGAGUGGUUCGGCGCUCUCUUUGAGAGCCGCCCCUCAAACGCAUCGCAGGCUUUUCGUGAAGGUCUGAUGUGUCACAUCGUGAGUAUUAAAACUUUCAGCAAUGGAUCUCU